ACUCCUACGGGGAGGCAGCAGUGGGGAAUAUUGCACAAUGGGCGCAAGCCUGAUGCAGCCAUGCCGCGUGUAUGAAGAAGGCCUUAGGGUUGUAAAGUACUUUUCAGCGGGGAGGAAGGUGAUAAGGUUAAUACCCUUAUCAAUUCGACGUUACCCGCAGAAGAAGCACCGGCUAACUCCGUGCCAGCAGCGGCGGUAAUA
rnacentral:rRNA from 1 species